CCACAUGUGACAUUCUUCCACUGCGUAAA
rnacentral:sRNA from 1 species